AUAGAUGCAUGCAAUGGAUACUACUGUGAUGGUUAUAGGCAAAAUUCCUAUAACAAACCCAAGCUUUGGACUGAAAAUUGGGAUGGAUGUACUUUGGUGGAACAAACUUUGGUCGGACUUCCGGCGGACCGUUCUAUAUUACUAGUUAUGAUUAUGAUGCUCCAAUUGAUGAAUAUGGCUUACUGAGUGAGCCUAAAUGGGGACAUCUAAAGGAUCUGCAUGCUGCUAUAAAGCUUUGUGAACCUUCCCUGGUUGAUGCUGAUUCACCCCAGU